rnacentral:tRNA from 1 species
UGUUUUUAUAGUGUAAAUUAACAUAUUAUAUUUUCAUUAUAAAGAUAUUGAAUUUAAAAAUC